rnacentral:rRNA from 1 species
UACGGAGGGUGCAAGCGUUAUCCGGAUUCACUGGGUUUAAAGGGUGCGUAGGCGGAUUGCCAAGUCCGUGGUGAAAUCUCUGGGCUUAACCCAGAAACUGCCGUGGAUACUGGCAAUCUUGAAUAUCGUGGAGGUAAGCGGAAUAUGUCAUGUAGCGGUGAAAUGCUUAGAUAUGACAUAGAACACCGAUAGCGGAGGCAGCUUGCUACACGAUCAUUGACGCUGAGGCACGAAAGCGUGGGGAGCAAACAGG